GAUGAACGCUGGCGGCGUGCUUAACACAUGCAAGUCGAACGAAGCACUUUAUUUGAUUUCCUUCGGGACUGAUUAUUUUGUGACUGAGUGGCGGACGGGUGAGUAACGCGUGGGUAACCUGCCUUGUACAGGGGGAUAACAGUCGGAAACGGCUGCUAAUACCGCAUAAGCGCACAGUAUAGCAUGAUGCAGUGUGAAAAACUCCGGUGGUAUAAGAUGGACCCGCGUUGGAUUAGCUAGUUGGUGAGGUAACGGCCCACCAAGGCGACGAUCCAUAGCCGACCUGAGAGGGUGACCGGCCACAUUGGGACUGAGACACGGCCCAAACUCCUACGGGAGGCAGCAGUGGGGAAUAUUGCACAAUGGGCGAAAGCCUGAUGCAGCGACGCCGCGUGAGCGAAGAAGUAUUUCGGUAUGUAAAGCUCUAUCAGCAGGGAAGAUAAUGACGGUACCUGACUAAGAAGCACCGGCUAAAUACGUGCCAGCAGCCGCGGUAAUACGUAUGGUGCAAGCGUUAUCCGGAUUUACUGGGUGUAAAGGGAGCGCAGGCGGUGCGGCAAGUCUGAUGUGAAAGCCCGGGGCUCAACCCCGGUACUGCAUUGGAAACUGUCGUACUAGAGUGUCGGAGGGGUAAGCGGAAUUCCUAGUGUAGCGGUGAAAUGCGUAGACAUUAGGAGGAACACCAGUGGCGAAGGCGGCUUACUGGACGAUAACUGACGCUGAGGCUCGAAAGCGUGGGGAGCAAACAGGAUUAGAUACCCUGGUAGUCCACGCCGUAAACGAUGAAUAAUGGGUGUUGGGGAAGCAUUGCUUUUCGGUGCCGUCGCAAACGCAGUAAGUAUUCCACCUGGGGAGGUACGUUCGCAAGAAUGAAACUCAAAGGAAUGACGGGGACCCGCACAAGCGGUGGAGCAUGUGGUUAAUUCGAAGCAACGCGAAGAACCUUACCAAGUCUUGACAUCCUUCUGACCGGUACUUAACCGUACCUUCUCUUCGGAGCAGGAGUGACAGGUGGUGCAUGGUUGUCGUCAGCUCGUGUCGUGAGAUGUUGGGUUAAGUCCCGCAACGAGCGCAACCCUUAUCUUUAGUAGCCAGCGGUUUGGCCGGGCACUCUAGAGAGACUGCCAGGGAUAACCUGGAGGAAGGCGGGGAUGACGUCAAAUCAUCAUGCCCCUUAUGACUUGGGCUACACACGUGCUACAAUGGCGUAAACAAAGGGAAGCAAAGCUGUGAAGCCGAGCAAAUCUCAAAAAUAACGUCUCAGUUCGGACUGUAGUCUGCAACCCGACUACACGAAGCUGGAAUCGCUAGUAAUCGCAGAUCAGAAUGCUGCGGUGAAUACGUUCCCGGGUCUUGCACU
rnacentral:rRNA from 1 species